UAGCAUGUACAACACAGAAUCGAUAAAUGAACAUUCGGAGGAUCAACCACCCCCAAAAUCUACUGAGCAUGUUUGGACAGUGACAAAUUUUCCGGACCAAUUGUCUACACUAGAGCUCCAACAGAUCCUCAGAGAUACUAGUGAACAUGGAGAAGCUAAGGGAACUGUGCUGCCAAAAGAAGAGAAAACGUUACCACAGUCGAUAUAUAUUCCUUGUCCCCCACAAGGGACAUUGAAUAAAAUUAUUACAAAUGGUAUGUGAAAUAAGAAAUGUAAAUGGAGAAAAAAUGAAAAAUGUAUUUGAUGACUCU